rnacentral:rRNA from 1 species
AAAUAAAGAUCGCCGUCGCAAAAAUAACCUUCAAAACUGCUAUUAGCAGCUGGUUCCUGCGGCGGGGUGGAUAUAAAGUGAAACCGCGAAUGGCUCAUUAAAUCAGUUACGGUUCCUCGGAUAUUCUUUUUUACAUGGAUAACUGUGGUAAUUCUAGAGCUAAUACAUGAACAAGUGUUCCAACCUCAGCUUGCUGACGGAAGGAUCGCUGUUUAGGUGGUGCAGAUUUGGACUUUGGCUUGGCAGCAAUUUGUGCAAAAGUUGGUGUCUAAGGACUAGCAGUGGGGAUCUUAGCAACUUCGGUUGCAUUUCUUGUGAUGACUCUGAAUAACUGAGCAAAUCGUAUGGCCUCUGAGCCGACGAUGUAUCCCUCAAGCAACUGCCUUAUCAACUGUCGAUGGUAGGUUAUGCGCCUACCAUGGUUGUAACGGGUAACGGGGAAUUAGGGUUCGAUUCCGGAGAGGGAGCUGAGAAACGGCUACCACAUCUAAGGAAGGCAGCAGGCGCGCAAAUUACACAAUCCCAGUACGGGGAUGUAGUGACGAAAAAUAACAAUACGGGACUCUAUUGAGGCCCCGUAAUUGGAAUGAGUACAAUUUAAAUCCUUUAACGAGGAUCUAUUGGAGGGCAAGUCUGGUGCCAGCAGCCGCGGUAAUUCCAGCUCCAAUAGCGUAUAUUAAAGUUGCUGCGGUUAAAAAGCUCGUAGUUGGAUUUCAGUCGAACCUAUGGGGUCCACUGAUUAAAGGGUUAGAUGGUGAUGUUAGGUUUCUUGCUUGUGUCUACGGAUGCUAGCUUGAACCUUCAUUCCUCUUUCCUGGUGGUUACAUUCAUAGUGUUUAGACAGAAAAUUGCUCGAUAUUUGCUAUCAAUGCUCUUUACCGAGUGUUGAUUCAAGCGAUCGAGACUUUUACCUUGAAAAAAUCAGAGUGCUCAAAGCAGGCGUCCAAAACCUCGAAAGAGGUGCCUAAAAACGGUAUGGUCAACCAUCUAUAUGAUGCGUACCACUACCUUAACUUGAAUGAUCUUGCAUGGAAUAAUGGAAUAGGACCUUGGUUCUAUUUUGUUGGUCUUAAGAAUCCAAGGUAAUGAUUAAGAGGGACAGACGGGGGCAUUUGUAUUGCGGCGCUAGAGGUGAAAUUCUUGGACCGUCGCAAGACAAACUACAGCGAAAGCAUUUGCCAAGAAUGUUUUCAUUAAUCAAGAACGAAAGUUAGAGGUUCGAAGGCGAUCAGAUACCGCCCUAGUUCUAACCAUAAACGAUGCCAACCAGCGAUCAUUCUGAGUAACUAAUUUCAUGACUCGAAUGGAAGCUUCCGGGAAACCAAAGUUUUUGGGUUCCGGGGGAAGUAUGGUGCAAAGCUGAAACUUAAAGGAAUUGACGGAAGGGCACCACCAGGAGUGGAGCUGCGGCUUAAUUUGACUCAACACGGGAAAACUCACCCGGCCCGGACACUGAGAGGAUUGACAGAUUGAGAGCUCUUUCUUGAUUCAGUGGGUGGUGGUGCAUGGCCGUUCUUAGUUGGUGGAGUGAUUUGUCUGGUUAAUUCCGAUAACGAACGAGACUCUAGCCUACUAAAUAGACUUGCAGUUUACACUGCAGUACUCCCCCUUAGUCAACCUGUGGGUGGUAGUAUCUCUUGAUGGUUUCGGCUGUUGAGGGCUCUGCUGCUAUUAGCCUACAGAAUUGGCUAGGGUAAGGAUGCUGUAGCACUGUAAGGACUUCUUAGAGGGACAAGCGGCGCUCGCAGCCGCACGAAACAGAGCAAUAACAGGUCUGUGAUGCCCUUAGAUGUCCGGGGCCGCACGCGUGCUACACUGAAGUGGUCAUCGUGCAUACUGUUUCCUGCUCCGAAAGGAGUGGGUAACCGCUUGAACCCAUUUCGUGAUGGGGAUUGGGCAUUGUAAUUAUUGCCCAUGAACGAGGAAUUCCCAGUAAGCGUGAGUCAUUAGCUUGCGUUGAUUACGUCCCUGCCCUUUGUACACACCGCCCGUCGCUACUACCGAUUGAAUGAUUUAGUGAGGACUUCGGACUGGUCAAUCCAGACCAUUGGGAAACUAGUGGUCGGAUUGUGCUGGAAAGAUGUUCAAACUUGAUCAUUUAGAGGAAGUAAAAGUCGUAACAAGGUUUCCGUAGGUGAACCUGCGGAAG